CCUACGGGAGGCAGCAGUGAGGAAUAUUGGUCAAUGGGCGUAAGCCUGAACCAGCCAAGUCGCGUGAGGGAUGAAUGUUCUAUGGAUCGUAAACCUCUUUUAUAAGGGAAUAAAGUGUGGGACGUGUCCUAUUUUGUAUGUACCUUAUGAAUAAGGAUCGGCUAACUCCGUGCCAGCAGCCGCGGUAAUACGGAGGAUCCGAGCGUUAUCCGGAUUUAUUGGGUUUAAAGGGUGCGUAGGCGGCCUGUUAAGUCAGCUGUGAAAGUCUGUGGCUCAACCAUAGAAUUGCCGUUGAAACUGGCAGGCUUGAGUAUGUUUGAGGCAGGCGGAAUGCGUGGUGUAGCGGUGAAAUGCUUAGAUAUCACACAGAACACCGAUUGCGAAGGCAGCUUGCUAGGCCGGAUCUGACAUUGAUGCACGAAAGUGUGGGGAUCGAACAGGAUUAGAUACCCGUGUAGUC
rnacentral:rRNA from 1 species